rnacentral:rRNA from 1 species
UUGAACUGAAGAGUUUGAUCAUGGCUCAGAUUGAACGCUGGCGGCAGGCCUAACACAUGCAAGUCGAGCGGAUGAGAGGAGCUUGCUCCUUGAUUUAGCGGCGGACGGGUGAGUAAUGCCUAGGAAUCUGCCUGGUAGUGGGGGAUAACGUUCCGAAAGGAACGCUAAUACCGCAUACGUCCUACGGGAGAAAGCAGGGGACCU